GACGAACGCUGGCGGCGUGCUUAACACAUGCAAGUCGAACGCUGAAGCUCAGCUUUUGUUGGGUGGAUGAGUGGCGAACGGGUGAGUAACACGUGAGUAACCUGCCCCCUUCUUUGGGAUAACGCCCGGAAACGGGUGCUAAUACUGGAUAUUCACUGGUCUUCGCAUGGGGGUUGGUGGAAAGGGUUUUUUUGGUGGGGGAUGGGCUCGCGGCCUAUCAGCUUGUUGGUGGGGUGAUGGCCUACCAAGGCUUUGACGGGUAGCCGGCCUGAGAGGGUGACCGGUCACAUUGGGACUGAGAUACGGCCCAGACUCCUACGGGAGGCAGCAGUGGGGAAUAUUGCACAAUGGGCGCAAGCCUGAUGCAGCGACGCCGCGUGAGGGAUGGAGGCCUUCGGGUUGUGAACCUCUUUCGCUCAUGGUCAAGCCGCAACAAUGGUUGUGGUGAGGGUAGUGGGUAAAGAAGCGCCGGCUAACUACGUG
rnacentral:rRNA from 1 species